UACGUAGGGGGCUAGCGUUGUCCGGAAUCAUUGGGCGUAAAGCGCGCGUAGGCGGCCAGAUAGGUCCGGUGUGAAAGUCACAGGCUCAACCUGUGAAUGCCGCUGGAAACUGUCUGGCUUGAGUCCGGAAGGGGCGAGUGGAAUUCCUGGUGUAGCGGUGAAAUGCGCAGAUAUCAGGAGGAACACCGGUGGCGAAGGCGGGUCUCUGGGCCGAUACUGACGCUGAGGAGCGAAAGCGUGGGGAGCGAACAGG
rnacentral:rRNA from 1 species